UGGCGACCAGCGCACGGGUGAGUAACACGUGUGCAACCAACCCCGUACCGGGAGAUAACCCGCGGAAACGUGGACUAACAUCCCAUGAGACUCUAGAUCCGCAUGGCUCUAGAUUUAAAAUUCCGGUGGUACGGGACGGGCACGCGCGACAUUAGGUAGUUGGCGGGGUAAGGGCCCACCAAGCCGACGAUGUCUAGGGGUUCUGAGAGGAAGGUCCCCCACACUGGAACUGAGACACGGUCCAG
rnacentral:rRNA from 1 species